UAAAAAGCUCACCAGGUGUAGUCGUUAGUCCCCUUGCCUCUCACUGAGCGCACUGCAAUUGUGUGAAUUCUCCUGAUUCUCCAGGUUGAUAGCCAGGCACAAGUUCCUGUCCUUCACGGAGUGAACUGGGGCAGAUUGACGUUUACCACUGACAAAUGAGCUGCUGUGGCUGUAGAGCUCCGGAAAAUACUCCUCCUCCCGCAUUAACUGUGCUAUAGGAGUUGGUGUCCUUGCAAAGGGGACCAGUCCAGUCACUGUUUUCUACGCUUGAUCCUGUACAAGGCUGGGUCCGUGUCGAGACACUGCCUCCUUGUGACAGGACAGAAACAUGUGAACAGUGACUCUCAGGGGACAGGAGAGGAGUUCCUACCUUUACACCAGGCGUUGAACAGCACGUACAGGUCACUAGCGGCGUUCCUCUUUGUUCGCUGCAUGCCGGUGCCCGCUACGAUGGCCACGUACGUACGAAACUUUCCCACGAUGGCGUUUGGCGUCGGCGUGAUGCCCAGAGUCACAGUUACACCCUGACGCCCCACAAUCCGACCCGACCACGGGCCCCCGAGACGGGAAUUGAAGGUCACCACCAUCAGGGAGCCCCUGCUGGCUGAAGGGUUUUCACCUGGAGGAGGAGGAGGAGGGUUCGUGAUGAGGAAAGGAUACAAGGAGAUGAAAAUCCAGAAAUGGACUGUCAAAAAAAACAUUAAAAAAGCUUUAAAAGCGUACUCUACUUGAUUACUGGUACUGGUUUGGAAAAAUAAAAUGUUUAAACUGCGGUGACAGUUAAGUUUAGAUACCAAAACAACUAGUUGAAGGGUAACUUUGUUUUUUCAACCUGUGUGACUGAUGGGAAUAACUUUCUUUUGACAUUGGUCCAGUAUUAAGCAAAAUCGUUGCAGUCGUCAGUGGUGAAACAAGCUACAAUGUAAGUUAAUAGGGCAAUCGCACACCUUCAAUUUAUGUCAACAAAAGUGCUUGUUUUACCACAGACAAGCUCAACUUUUGAUUCUGAGUGUCUGACAACA